rnacentral:rRNA from 1 species
UACAGAGGGUGCGAGCGUUAAUCGGAAUUACUGGGCGUAAAGGGUGCGUAGGUGGUUAAAUAAGUCAGAUGUGAAAGCCCUUGGCUUAACUGAGGAAGUGCAUCCGAAACUGGCAAGCUAGAGUACUAAAGAGGGUCGCGGAAUUCCCGGUGUAGAGGUGAAAUUCGUAGAUAUCGGAAGGAACACCGGUGGCGAAGGCGGCGACCUGGGUAGAUACUGACGCUGAGGUGCGAAAGCGUGGGGAACAAACAGG